GACGAACGCUGGCGGCGUGCCUAAUACAUGCAAGUCGAGCGCAGGAAGCUCACGGAACUCUUCGGAGGGAAGUGAAGGGAAUGAGCGGCGGACGGGUGAGUAACACGUAAGGAACCUGCCCCAAGGAUUGGGAUAACUCCGAGAAAUCGGAGCUAAUACCGAAUAGUUCUUCAGACCGCAUGGUCUGUGAUGAUGAAAGGCGCUUCGGCGUCACCUUGGGAUGGCCUUGCGGUGCAUGAGCUAGUUGGUGGGGUAAUGGCCCACCAAGGCGACGAUGCAUAGCCGACCUGAGAGGGUGAUCGGCCACACUGGGACUGAGGCACGGCCCAGACUCCUACGGGAGGCAGCAGUAGGGAAUCUUCCACAAUGGACGAAAGUCUGAUGGAGCAACGCCGCGUGAGUGAUGAAGGUUUUCGGAUCGUAAAACUCUGUUGUAAGGGAAGAACAGGUAUGAGAGGUAAUGCUCAUGCUAUGACGGUACCUUACGAGAAAGCCACGGCUAACUACGUGCCAGCCGCCGCAGUAAUAC
rnacentral:rRNA from 1 species